rnacentral:rRNA from 1 species
AGAGUUUGAUCCUGGCUCAGAUUGAACGCUGGCGGAAUGCUUUACACAUGCAAGUCGAACGGCAGCACGGGGGCAACCCUGGUGGCGAGUGGCGAACGGGUGAGUAAUACAUCGGAACGUGCCCAGUCGUGGGGGAUAACGUAGCGAAAGUUACGCUAAUACCGCAUACGAUCUACGGAUGAAAGCGGGGGAUCGCAAGACCUCGCGCGAUUGGAGCGGCCGAUGUCAGAUUAGGUAGUUGGUGGGGUAAAGGCCUACCAAGCCAACGAUCUGUAGCUGGUCUGAGAGGACGACCAGCCACACUGGGACUGAGACACGGGCCAGACUCCUACGGGAGGCAGCAGCGGGGAAUUUUGGACAAUGGGCGCAAGCCUG